AAAUUGAAGAGUUUGAUCAUGGCUCAGAUUGAACGCUGGCGGCAGGCCUAACACAUGCAAGUCGAACGGUAACAGGAAGCAGCUUGCUGCUUUGCUGACGAGUGGCGGACGGGUGAGUAAUGUCUGGGAAACUGCCUGAUGGAGGGGGAUAACUACUGGAAACGGUGGCUAAUACCGCAUAACGUCGCAAGACCAAAGAGGGGGACCUUCGGGCCUCUUGCCAUCAGAUGUGCCCAGAUGGGAUUAGCUUGUUGGUGAGGUAACGGCUCACCAAGGCGACGAUCCCUAGCUGGUCUGAGAGGAUGACCAGCCACACUGGAACUGAGACACGGUCCAGACUCCUACGGGAGGCAGCAGUGGGGAAUAUUGCACAAUGGGCGCAAGCCUGAUGCAGCCAUGCCGCGUGUAUGAAGAAGGCCUUCGGGUUGUAAAGUACUUUCAGCGGGGAGGAAGGUGUUGUGGUUAAUAACCACAGCAAUUGACGUUACCCGCAGAAGAAGCACCGGCUAACUCCGUGCCAGCAGCCGCGGUAAUACGGAGGGUGCAAGCGUUAAUCGGAAUUACUGGGCGUAAAGCGCACGCAGGCGGUCUGUCAAGUCGGAUGUGAAAUCCCCGGGCUCAACCUGGGAACUGCAUUCGAAACUGGCAGGCUUGAGUCUUGUAGAGGGGGGUAGAAUUCCAGGUGUAGCGGUGAAAUGCGUAGAGAUCUGGAGGAAUACCGGUGGCGAAGGCGGCCCCCUGGACAAAGACUGACGCUCAGGUGCGAAAGCGUGGGGAGCAAACAGGAUUAGAUACCCUGGUAGUCCACGCCGUAAACGAUGUCUACUUGGAGGUUGUGCCCUUGAGGCGUGGCUUCCGGAGCUAACGCGUUAAGUAGACCGCCUGGGGAGUACGGCCGCAAGGUUAAAACUCAAAUGAAUUGACGGGGGCCCGCACAAGCGGUGGAGCAUGUGGUUUAAUUCGAUGCAACGCGAAGAACCUUACCUGGUCUUGACAUCCACAGAACUUUCCAGAGAUGGAUUGGUGCCUUCGGGAACUGUGAGACAGGUGCUGCAUGGCUGUCGUCAGCUCGUGUUGUGAAAUGUUGGGUUAAGUCCCGCAACGAGCGCAACCCUUAUCCUUUGUUGCCAGCGAUUCGGUCGGGAACUCAAAGGAGACUGCCAGUGAUAAACUGGAGGAAGGUGGGGAUGACGUCAAGUCAUCAUGGCCCUUACGACCAGGGCUACACACGUGCUACAAUGGCGCAUACAAAGAGAAGCGACCUCGCGAGAGCAAGCGGACCUCAUAAAGUGCGUCGUAGUCCGGAUUGGAGUCUGCAACUCGACUCCAUGAAGUCGGAAUCGCUAGUAAUCGUGGAUCAGAAUGCCACGGUGAAUACGUUCCCGGGCCUUGUACACACCGCCCGUCACACCAUGGGAGUGGGUUGCAAAAGAAGUAGGUAGCUUAACCUUCGGGGGGGCGCUUACCACUUUGUGAUUCAUGACUGGGGUGAAGUCGUAACAAGGUAACCGUAGGGGAACCUGCGGUUGGAUCACCUCCUUA
rnacentral:rRNA from 1 species